rnacentral:rRNA from 1 species
AUUGAACGCUGGCGGCAUGCUUUACACAUGCAAGUCGAACGGCAGCACGGGGGCAACCCUGGUGGCGAGUGGCGAACGGGUGAGUAAUAUAUCGGAACGUACCCGGAAAUGGGGGAUAACGUAGCGAAAGUUACGCUAAUACCGCAUAUGCCCUGAGGGGGAAAGCGGGGGAUUCGCAAGAACCUCGCGUUUUCGGAGCGGCCGAUAUCGGAUUAGCUAGUAGGUGAGGUAAAGGCUCACCUAGGCGACGAUCCGUAGCUGGUCUGAGAGGACGACCAGCCACACUGGAACU